rnacentral:rRNA from 1 species
CCUACGGGUGGCAGCAGUGAGGAAUAUUCGUCAAUGGACGAGAGUCUGAACCAGCCAAGUAGCGUGAAGGAAGACUGCCCUAUGGGUUGUAAACUUCUUUUAUAAGGGAGUAAAACGAGGCACGUGUGCCUCUUUGCAUGUACUUUAUGAAUAAGGAUCGGCUAACUCCGUGCCAGCAGCCGCGGUAAUACGGAGGAUCCGAGCGUUAUCCGGUUUUAUUGGGUUUAAAGGGAGCGUAGAUGGGGUGUAAAGUCAGUGGUGAAAUUUUGCGGCUCAACCACAGACUUGCAAUGAAUACGGGCAGCUUGAGUGCAGGAGAGGUACGUGGAAUGCGAGGUGUAGCGGUGAAAUGCAUAGAUA